UUUAUGUUUUUAAAACAUUUCCACUUGUUCCUCAUCAAAUUUAGAGGAGGAAAUAUUUCUUCAUGAGUUCCCAAAUAUAUGAGGAAAAUAGAGAAAAAUAGUGGGACCGAUGUAUUAACAGUUUGACAAAAAUUUCAACUGAAUUGGUAACAUUUUUAAGGAACAACCAAUUCAUCAUAUUUUUUUCCUAAAGAAUGGGUU
rnacentral:lncRNA from 1 species